GCCAGUUAAUCCUACUGCUACCCCAUCUAAGAAGAGGAAGAAGAUGACCACCAAGCCCACAACAACUGUGUCAGUAAAGAAAACCAUACCGAAUCCAGCAGUGAAAGAAGCAGAGGAACCUACACCAUUGGUUCCUAAAAAAGUGAAGACCGACCGCCCGAAGCAAGUGUCCCAGAAGCCUGGCUCCCAAGGGAGCUAGAAACAGAAUUAAACCCCCAGUGACCAAGUGCGUGUAAAAUCUGCCGGACCCAGGAAGUACAUACAAAUUACCCGAAGCAGAGAAAAAGAGGGAAAUGAAGUGAAAAGCGCCAGCAAUCUACCAGACCGAAGAAAUGACAAAGACGCUGGCAGAAAGCAAAAAUGAAACAAGGAGCAAAUAAAAAAAGAUCAAAGGCAUAACGGACAAAUCAUGAAGAAGGAGUGCCCUAGGGAUCCGAGCCUCAACUAUAUAAAGGGACUACUCCUUUGAAGAGAGUAUCAUUCUACACCAGCUUCACAUACUCCUUAGUUUCAUUUCUAGUUAGCUCACUUCACACGCACUUGGCACCGAUGGGAAAUUCUGGACAGGCUUGGCGGUAGUUAGUUUCUGUGGUGUAACACCGUCCUCACGGGGGCUAAUAUACAAUCAUUUACUUUUCCAUUGUUUUAUCUCUCGUCGUGAACUUCUUUGCCGGAAGCUCGGCGACUGCUUUUGUGUUUGAACCUUAUUUCCGUGGUUAUGGCAGUUUAUAUUUUCUGUUUUA